rnacentral:rRNA from 1 species
UACGGGGGGUGCGAGCGUUGUCCGGAAUUAUUGGGCGUAAAGGGUGCGUAGGCGGCGCGGUAAGUCGGGUGUGAAAUCUCGGAGCUUAACUCCGAAACUGCAUUCGAUACUGCCGUGCUUGAGGACUGGAGAGGAGACUGGAAUUUACGGUGUAGCGGUGAAAUGCGUAGAUAUCGUAAGGAAGACCAGUGGCGAAGGCGGGUCUCUGGACAGUUCCUGACGCUGAGGCACGAAGGCCAGGGGAGCAAACGGG